rnacentral:rRNA from 1 species
GACGAACGCUGGCGGCGUGCCUAAUACAUGCAAGUUGAGCGCUGAAGGUUGGUACUUGUACCAACUGGAUGAGCAGCGAACGGGUGAGUAACGCGUGGGGAAUCUGCCUUUGAGCGGGGGACAACAUUUGGAAACGAAUGCUAAUACCGCAUAAAAACUUUAAACACAAGUUUUAAGUUUGAAAGAUGCAAUUGCAUCACUCAAAGAUGAUCCCGCGUUGUAUUAGCUAGUUGGUGAGGUAAAGGCUCACCAAGGCGAUGAUAUAUAGCCGACCUGAGAGGGUGAUCGGCCACAUUGGGACUGAGACACGGCCCAAACUCCUACGGGAGGCAGCAGUAGGGAAUCUUCGGCAAUGGACGGAAGUCUGACCGGGCAACGCCGCGUGAGUGAAGAAGGUUUUCGGAUCGUAAAACUCUGUUGGUAGAGAAGAACGUUGGUGGGAGUGGAAAGCUCAUCAAGUGACGGUAACUACCCAGAAAGGGACGGCUAACUACGUG